UGAUGUGACGUAUGAAAUCGAGGU
rnacentral:piRNA from 1 species